rnacentral:rRNA from 1 species
GAUGAACGCUGGCGGCGUGCCUAAUACAUGCAAGUCGAGCGAACGGACGAGAAGCUUGCUUCUCUGAUGUUAGCGGCGGACGGGUGAGUAACACGUGGAUAACCUACCUAUAAGACUGGGAUAACUUCGGGAAACCGUAGCUAAUACCGGAUAAUAUUUUGAACCGCAUGGUUCAAAAGUGAAAGACGGUCCUGCUGUCACUUAUAGAUGGAUCCGCGCUGCAUUAGCUAGUUGGUAAGGUAACGGCUUACCAAGGCAACGAUGCAUAGCCGACCUGAGAGGGUGAUCGGCCACACUGGAACUGAGACACGGUCCAGACUCCUACGGGAGGCAGCAGUAGGGAAUCUUCCGCAAUGGGCGAAAGCCUGACGGAGCAACGCCGCGUGAGUGAUGAAGGUCUUCGGAUCGUAAAACUCUGUUAUUAGGGAAGAACAUAUGUGUAAGUAACUGUGCACAUCUUGACGGUACUUAAUCAGAAAGCCACGGCUAACUACGUG